rnacentral:misc_RNA from 1 species
CGCACCUUGCGCUCCUUGGUAUUCCGAGGAGCAUGCCUGUUUGAGUGUCAUGAAAUCAUCAACCUCGCCGACUUUGUUGUCCGGUGUAGGCUUGGACUUGGGGAAUAUAUGCGGGCCCCCUCGGGGUCGGCUUCCCUUGAAUGCAUUAGCUCGGAGGUUAGUCUCCGUCCGAACGGUGUGAUAAACGUCAUUCAUCGAUCGGCGGUGGCUGUGCUCGGCUUCUAACGGUCGCCGCUUCGGCGACAAGAUCUUCAUUGACUCAUCUGACCUCAAAUCAGGUAGGACUACCCGCUGAACUUAA